rnacentral:rRNA from 1 species
GUCGUCAGCUCGUGUCGUGAGAUGUUGGGUUAAGUCCCGCAACGAGCGCAACCCUCGCCUCUAGUUGCCAGCAUUCGGUUGGGCACUCUAGAGGGACUGCCGGCGACAAGUCGGAGAAGUGGGAUGACGUCAAAUCAUCAUGCCCCUUAUGACCUGGGCUACACACGUGCUACAAUGGGCGGUACAAAGGGCUGCGAACCCGCGAGGGGGAGCGAAUCCCAAAAAGCCGCUCUCAGUUCGGAUUGCAGGCUGCAACUCGCCUGCAUGAAGCCGGAAUCGCUAGUAAUCGCAGAUCAGCAACGCUGCGGUGAAUACCGUUCCCGGGGCUU